rnacentral:lncRNA from 1 species
UGGGAAGGCUGGAGAUGUGUAGCCAUCAGGCAAAAAACUCUCAGAACCUAGGAGGGAGGCCUGGGACAGAUCCCCAGCACCUUCAGAGAAAGCAUGGCCCUGCACACACCUUGACACCUUGACCUCAGACUUCUGGGCUCCAGAAUCGAAAGAAGUUUCCAAAGUGUGAACCUUCCGAACACUAGUCUCUGGAGAGGAUCUGCAGAGAAGGGUUUUAUGGCCAAGCACCUCCUGGAACUCUAUAACACACCGUAAAAAAUGGUCUCUCAGGAGUCCUGUAGCUGAGAACCCAGAAUCCCUCCCAUAUGUGAAAAAACAUGAUUUUAUUCUAGCAUCUUUUGAGAGUUUUGUUCUUUGUAUAUGCAGCUCUAGUGCAAUACACUCCAUACGUUCACAUUUUUAGUGUCAUUUGAUGUAAUAAAU